UUAUUAGUGUGAAUGCUUGAAAAGCAUUCACAGUAUUGUUCUUCUAAUCUUUAUUAUUAUAUCAUCUUCCGUACGUUUUUUGGCAUCUAACUCCUUCAAAACCGUUCAACUUAGAAAAACCAUUCAAACACCGUUAGAUUCCUAUUAUUUUGGACAUGACUGCUUCUAUUUUUCUCAUUUCUAACAUUUAUAUUUUUAAUUUUAUUCAACUUUAUUCAACAAAAAUUUCCCAUGUAUUUCAAUGGGGAGACCCUUCAAAUUCUCAUUCAACUUACUCAUUUUUAAACUCUUACUACUUCCACAUACAUUGACAUAGAGCCACCAUUCAAACUUUAAAACGAAGACAAGACAUUCAACUAUUCAACUUGUAUUUAUCUUUUCAAUAUCUAUUAUACUUUUUCUUCAGUUCCAGUUUAAGUUUCAUGAUGUUUUUUCAGCCGUUUCAGAGUUUAUAAUGGGUGUGUAUGGGACGGAAUGUUGGGGCUAGAGUGAGGCAGCUCAACUGCUAGAGUGAGAGGAGCAAAAAAAUUAAUCUUAAAAUCUUUUUUAAAACUGCUGCUGUGUCCGCAGCGUUUGCUCUACAGGUAUGAUUUUACCCUCAAAACGUAGCCAUGGCUGUCCUCUUUCAUCCAAUGUGUUUACUAUUGUACUAGGUGUUAUGGUUCUUUCAUAAAUGUCACCAAUGCACAGCCUCCUCCCUCCAACUCUUCCAUAGACUCUAAUGUUAAAAUGGCUCAGAAGGUUCGUUUGAAAAUCAGAAGAGCAUGGUGUCUUUCCACUGUCACCACGUCCAUAUAAUAAGCUCCACAGGCAUGAAAACUGAGAAUUAGGUAGACUAGACAUUGCUGUCGCUCACGGUGAAAGAAUUUCGUCAAUACGACUUUUACUUUUCAUUUGGGAACGAUUUGUUUCGGCCUGACUUUUCUGUUCAUUUUAAGCAGCAAAAGUGAGGCGCAUGUCUGUGUACGUGUGUAUGGAGCCAUUGGGUGCGGUCACUAUAGCAACCAGGCUCACACCUGCCUGCUUAACGAGCUCUGCCUGCCACUGUACCAAGAUUCAUCUUAAGCACUUCUCUUUCAACUGCUGCUGUGUCCACAGUGUUACAGCCAUCAUUUUACCCUCAAAACGUCGCCAUCGUUGUUCUUUUUCCAACAUCUUGUCUUUCAAAGCUCAGAGAUGUAAACUUUUUAAAUUGUGUGGGUCCAAGUGGAGGGAUCACAUUUUAGUCAUUCAGUGAUUCAAAGAAUAUGACCUUUUAAUAUUCAUUCAGAUGUUUUCUGACUCUAAAUGUUCUUUUCUCAUUUCUUAGGUUUUUCUAAUUUACAAUUAAAACAUUUUCAGCUUUUUUCCAACUCCUUCUUCUGUGUAACCUUCAGCUUUUAGCAGUUCAGCACCUUUGUUUUCAGGUUAAAUUCGGUUUUUUUUUUUGGUUUUUUUUAAUCUCAUUCAAUAUUUUUAACUCAAAAUUCAGCAAUUAAUUCAUUUCAGUGCAUACAUUCAGAUUCAAGCAUUCACACUGCAGUUUCUUCAGAAAAUGCACUUUCUAGUUAUUAUUAUAUAUUCCGUACGUUUUUUGGCAUCUCACUCCUUCAAAACCAUUCAACUUAGAAAAACCAUUCAAACACCAUUAGAUUCCUCUUCUUUAGGACAUGAAUGCUUCUAUUUUUCUCAUUUUUAACAUUUAUAUUUUUAAUUUUAUUCAAAUUUAUUCAACAAAAAUUUAUAAUGUAUUUCAAUGGGGAGACCCUUCAAAUUCUCAUUCAACUUACUCAUUUUUAAACUCUUACUACUUCCACAUACGUUGACAUAGAGCCACCAUUCAAACUUUAAAACGAAGACAAGACAUUCAACUAUUCAACUUGUAUUUAUCUUUUCAAUAUCUAUUAUACUUUUUCUUCAGUUCCAGUUUAAGUUUCAUGAUGUUUUUUCACCCGUUUCAGAGUUUAUAAUGGGUGUGUAUGGGACGGAAUGUUGGGGCUAGAGUGAGGCAGCUCAACUGCUAGAGUGAGAGGAGCAAAAAAAUUAAUCUUAAAAUCUUUUUUAAAACUGCUGCUGUGUCUGCAGCGUUUGCUCUACAGGUAUGAUUUUACCCUCAAAACGUAGCCAUGGCUGUCCUCUUUCAUCCAAUGUGUUUACUAUUGUACUGGGUGUUAUGGUUCUUUCAUAAAUGUCACCAAUGCACAGCCUCCUCCCUCCAACUCUUCCAUAGACUCUAAUGUUAAAAUGGCUCAGAAGGUUCGUUUGAAAAUCAGAAGAGCAUGGUGUCUUUACACUGUCACCACGUCCAUAUAAUAAACUCCACAGGCAUGAAAACUGAGAAUUCAGUAGACUAGAAGCUGCUGUCGCUCACGGUGAAAGAAUUUCGUCAAUACGACUUGUACUUUUCAUAUGGGAACGAUUUGUUUCGGCCUGACUUUUCUGUUCAUUUUAAGGAGCAAAAGUGAGGCGCAUGUCUGUGUACGUGUGUAUGGAGCCAUUGGGUGCGGUCACUAUAGCAACCAGGCUCACACCUGCCUGCUUAACGAGCUCUGCCUGCCACUGUACCAAGAUUCAUCUUAAGCACUUCUCUUUCAACUGCUGCUGUGUCCACAGUGUUACAGCCAUCAUUUUACCCUUUUCAAAGCUCAGGCAUUUAAACUUUUUAAACUGUGUGGAUCAAAGUGGAGGGAUCACAUUUGAGUCAUUCAGUGAUUCAAAGAAUAUGAACUUUUAAUAUUCAUUCAGAUGUUUUCUGACUCUAAAUGUUCUUUUCUCAUUUCUUAGGGUUUUCUAAUUUACAUUUAAAACAUUUUCAGUUUUUUUCCAACUUCUUCUUCUGUGUAACGUCCAGCUUUUAGCAGUUCAGCACCUUUGUUUUCAGGUUAAAUUCAUUUUUUUUUUUUUGUUUUUUUAUCUCAUUCAAUAUUUUUAACUCAAAAUUCAGCAAUUAAUUCAUUUCAGUGCAUACAUUCAGAUUCAAGCAUUCACACUGCAGUUUCUUCAGAAAAUGCACUUUCUAGUUAUUAUUAGUGUGAAUGCUUGAAAAGCAUUCACAGUAUUGUUAUUCUAAUCUUUAUUAGUGUGAAUGCUUGAAAAGCAUUCACAGUAUUGUUCUUCUAAUCUUUAUUCUAUUUUAUUAUUAUUCUGUAUUCCGUACGUUUUUUUGUAAUCUAUCUCCUUCAAAACCGUUCAACUUAGAAAAACCAUUCAAACACCGUUAGAUUCCUAUUCUUUUGGACAACAUUGCUUCUAUUUUUCUCAUUUUUAACAUUUAUAUUUUUAAUUUUAUUCAACUUUUUUCAACAAAAAUUUAUAAUGUAUUUCAAUGGGGAGACCCUUCAAAUUCUCAUUCAACUUCCUCCUCUUUAAACUGUAUCUACUUCCACAUACAUUGACAUAGAGCCACCAUUCAAACUUUAAAACGAAGACAAGACAUUCAACUAUUCAACUUGUAUUUAUCUUUUCAAUAUCUAUUAUACUUUUUCUUCAGUUCCAGUUUAAGUUUCAUGAUGUUUUUUCACCCGUUUCAAAGUUUAUAAUGGGUGUGUAUGGGACGGAAUGUUGGGGCUAGAG
ensembl:lncRNA